rnacentral:miRNA from 1 species
GCUGGUGCAAAAGUAAUGGCGG